rnacentral:rRNA from 1 species
UAGGGAAUCUUCGGCAAUGGGGGGAACCCUGACCGAGCAACGCCGCGUGAGUGAAGAAGGUUUUCGGAUCGUAAAGCUCUGUUGUUAAGGAAGAACGAGUGUGAGAAUGGAAAGUUCAUACUGUGACGGUACUUAACCAGAAAGGGACGGCUAACUACGUGCCAGCAGCCGCGGUAAUACGUAGGUCCCGAGCGUUGUCCGGAUUUAUUGGGCGUAAAGCGAGCGCAGGCGGUUAGAUAAGUCUGAAGUUAAAGGCAGUGGCUCAACCAUUGUAGGCUUUAGAAACUGUUUAACUUGAGUGCAGAAGGGGAGAGUGGAAUUCCAUGUGUAGCGGUGAAGUGCGUAGAUAUAUGGAGGAACACCGGUGGCGAAGGCGGCUCUCUGGUCUGUAACUGACGCUGAGGCUCGAAAGCGUGGGGAGCGAACAGG